GCGGAAGUAGCUCACCCGGUAGAGCGAUAGCUUCCCAAGCUAUAGGUAGCGGGUUCGAGUCCCGUCUUCCGCU
rnacentral:tRNA from 1 species